rnacentral:rRNA from 1 species
AGCGAACGCUGGCGGCAUGCCUAACACAUGCAAGUCGCACGGGGGGCUUCGGCCUCCCAGUGGCGGACGGGUGAGGAACGCGUAGGGACCUGUCGAGGGGUGGGGGAUAACCGCGGGAAACUGCGGCUAAUACCGCAUGACGCCGCGGCGUGAAAGCCGGGGCCAAAGGCGAAAGCCGCCCGCCAAGGGGCCUGCGUCCGAUUAGCUGGUUGGCGGGGUAGCGGCCCACCAAGGCGUCGAUCGGUAGCUGAUCUGAGAGGGUGAUCAGCCACACCGGGACUGAGACACGGCCCGGACUCCUACGGGAGGCAGCAGUGGGGAAUAUUGGACAAUGGGCGCAAGCCUGAUCCAGCAAUGCCGCGUGGGUGAAGAAGGUCUUCGGAUUGUAAAGCCCUUUCGGCGGGGACGAUGGUGACGGUACCCGCAGAAGAAGCCCCGGCUAACUUCGUG